AACGUUCGAAAAAUAUAAAAAUCAAGAAAAAGACAUAAAAACACCCUAAAAAUUCUCGAAUCGCACCAGUUACCUCAGAAUAACGAUACAAAUAAAAUAUCAAAAUUUCACAUUUUUCGUGACCGCCCGUAAAAUAUCAAAAAAUUAUUUCGUAAACGUCCGAAAAAUAUAAAAAUUAAGAAAAAGCCAUAAAAACACCUCAAAAAAUUCUCGAAUCGCACCAGUCACCUUAGAAUAUCGAUACAAAUAAAAUACCAAAAUUUCACAUUUUUUAGUGAUUGCUCGAAAAAAAUCAAAAAAUUUAAUUCGUAAACGUCUGAAAAAUAUAAAAAUCAAGAAAAAGGCAAAAAAACACCUCAAAAAAAUCUCGAAUUGCACCA
rnacentral:lncRNA from 1 species